rnacentral:rRNA from 1 species
CCUACGGGGGGCAGCAGUGAGGAAUAUUGGUCAAUGGCCGGAAGGCUGAACCAGCCAUGCCGCGUGAAGGGCAGGGACCUAGGGGCGUUAAACUUCUUUUGUGCGGGAGGAAAAAUGGUCACGUGUGGCCAGACGAGAGUACCGUACGAAGAAGCAUCGGCUAAAUCCGGGCCAGCAGCCGCGGUAAGACGGGGGAUGCAAGCGUUAUCCGGAUUUAUUGGGUUUAAAGGGUGCGUAGGCUGUGAGGUAAGUCAGCGGGGAAAUGCCCCCGCUCCACGGGGUGAAGUGCCAUUGAUACUGCCUUGCUGGACUGCGUCUGCCGUGGGCGGCAUGUGUGGUGUAGCGGU